AAGUCGUAACAAGGUUUCCGUAGGUGAACCUGCGGAAGGAUCAUUACCGAGUUCAUGCCCUUCGGGGUAGAUCUCCCACCCUUUGUAUACCUUACCUCUGUUGCUUUGGCGGGCCGCCUAGCUACUGGCUUCGGCUGGUAAGUGCCCGCCAGAGGACCCAAAACCCUGAAUAUUAGUGUCGUCUGAGUAAAAAGUUUAAUAUCUAAAACUUUCAACAACGGAUCUCUUGGCUCUGGCAUCGAUGAAGAACGCAGCGAAAUGCGAUAGGUAAUGUGAAUUGCAGAAUUCAGUGAAUCAUCGAAUCUUUGAACGCACAUUGCGCCCCUUGGUAUUCCGGGGGGCAUGCCUAUUCGAGCGUCAUUAUCACCCCUCAAGCCCAGCUUGGUGUUGAGGCUUGCCGUGAAGGCAGCCUCUAAAAUCAGUGGCAGUGCUGUCAGGCUCUAAGCGUAGUAAAUCUCUCGCUACAGGGUCUUGAUGGACACUCGCCAGAACCCCCAAUUUUUAAUGAUUGACCUCGGAUUAGGUAGGGAUACCCGCUGAACUUAAGCAUAUCAAUAAGCGGAGGAAAAGGAACCAACAGGGAUUGCCUCAGUAACGGCGAGUGAAGCGGCAAAAGCUCAAAUUUGAAAUCUGGCUCUUUCAGGGUCCGAGUUGUAAUUUGUAGAAGAUGUUUCGGGUGUGGCUCCGGUUUAAGUUCUUUGGAAUAUUACAUCAUAGAGGGUGAGAAUCCCGUAUGUGACCGGCAGCCUUCGCCCAUGUGAAACUCUUUCGACGAGUCGAGUUGUUUGGGAAUGCAGCUCAAAAUGGGAGGUAUAUUUCUUCUAAAGCUAAAUAUUGGCCAGAGACCGAUAGCGCACAAGUAGAGUGAUCGAAAGAUGAAAAGCACUUUGGAAAGAGAGUUAAACAGUACGUGAAAUUGUUGAAAGGGAAGCGCUUGCAGCCAGACUUGCACGCAGUUGAUCAUCCGGUGUUCUCACCGGGGCACUCUGCUGCGUUCAGGCCAGCAUCGGUUUUGGUGGUUGGAUAAAGGCCUUGGGAAUGUGGCUUCCUUCGGGGAGUGUUAUAGCCCUCGGUGCAAUGCAGCCUACCGGGACCGAGGACCGCGCUUCGGCUAGGAUGCUGGCGUAAUGGUUGUAAGCGACC
rnacentral:rRNA from 1 species